rnacentral:rRNA from 1 species
CGGCCUGUCUAGUAUAGCAUUAUACCGCGAAACUGCGAAUGGCUCAUUAUAUAAGUUAUCGUUUAUUUGAUAGUACCUUACUACUUGGAUAACCGGGGUAAUUCUAGAGCUAAUACAUGCUAAAAAUCCCGACUUCGGAAGGGAUGUAUUUAUUAGAUUAAAAACCAAUGCCCUCCGGGGCUCACUGGUGAUUCAUGAUAACUCCUCGAAUCGCAUGGCCUUGCCCCGGCGAUGGUUCAUUCAAAUUUCUUCCCUAUCAACUUUCGAUGUUUGGGUAUUGGCCAAACAUGGUUGCAACGGGUAACGGAGGGUUAGGGCUCGACCCCGGAAAAGGAGCCUGAAAAACGGCUACUACAUCCAAGGAAGGCAGCAGGCGCGCAAAUUACCCAAUCCCGACUCGGGGAGGUAGGGACAAUAAAUACUGAUACAGGGCUCUUUUGGGUCUUGUAAUUGGAAUGAGUACAAUUUAAAUCCCUUAACGAGGAACAAUUGGAGGGCAAGUCUGGUGCCAGCAGCCGCGGUAAUUCCAGCUCCAAUAGCGUAUAUUAAAGUUGUUGUGGUUAAAAAGCUCGUAGUUGAACCUUGGGCCUGGCUGGCCGGUCCGCCUCACCGCGUGUACUGGUCCGGCCGGGCCUUUCCCUCUGUGGAACCCCAUGCCCUUCACUGGGUGUGGCGGGGAAACAGGACUUUUACUGUGAAAAAAUUAGAGUGCUCCAGGCAGGCCUAUGCUCGAAUACAUUAGCAUGGAAAUAAUAGAAUAGGACGUGUGGUUCUAUUUUGUUGGUUUCUAGGACCGCCGUAAUGAUUAAUAGGGACAGUCGGGGGCAUCAGUAUUCAAUUGUCAGAGGUGAAAUUCUUGGAUUUAUUGAAGACUAACUACUGCGAAAGCAUUCGCCAAGG